UACGGGGGGGGCAAGCGUUGUUCGGAAUUACUGGGCGUAAAGGGCUCGUAGGCGGCCAACUAAGUCGGACGUGAAAUCCCCAGGCUCAACCUGGGAACUGCGUCUGAUACUGGAUGGCUUGAAUCCGGGAGAGGGAUGCAGAAUUCCAGGUGUAGCGGUGAAAUGCGUAGAUAUCUGGAGGAACACCGGUGGCGAAGGCGGCAUCCUGGACCGGUAUUGACGCUGAGGCGCGAAAGCUAGGGGAGCAAACGGG
rnacentral:rRNA from 1 species